rnacentral:rRNA from 1 species
GACGAACGCUGGCGGCGUGCUUAACACAUGCAAGUCGAGCGGAGCGGCGAACGGGUGAGUAACGCGUGAGUAACUGCCCCCCUCUCUGGGAUAACAGUUGGAAACGGCUGCUAAUACCGGAUAGUGGGGGAUGACUCGCGUCCUAUCAGCUUGUUGGUGGGGUAGUGGCCUACCACGGCGACGACGGGUAGCCGGCCUGGGCGGGGGACCGGCCACAUGGGGCUGGGAUACGGCCCAUACGCCUACGGGAGGCAGCAGCGGGGAAUAUUGCACACUGGGGGAAACCCUGAUGCAGCACCGCCGCGUGCGGGAUGACGGCCUUCGGGUUGUAAACCGCUUUCAGCCAUGACGCGGUAGUGGCAGAAGAAGCACCGGCUAACUCCGUGCCAGCAGCCGCGGUAUAC